AAUAAGAAGAAAAAAGCGGACAAGAUGAAUAACUCAAUAGAUGAUGUAUUUCUGCCCAAAGACAUUGAUUUGGACAGUGUAGACAUGGACGAGACCGAACGUGAGGUGGAAUAUUUCAAAAGGUUCUGCUUGGACUCAGCGCGACAGACAAGGCAGAGGUUGUCCAUCAACUGGUCCAAUUUUAGCUUGAAGAAGGCCACGUUUGCUGCCCACUAAUGGGUCUUCCUUUCAAGAGACAAUGGCAGGAAUCGAUAAGCGUUCCUCCGGUUUCUUCUCUCUCUCCCAUGUUUCUACAGACUGACUGCUGACCCCAGUGCUGCUAUGUUUCAACUGCUCCUCUGGUCUACAUUAUCCAUGCCGCCUUGCCUUGUCCUUGUUGCUAUGGGUUCCGCAAAGAACCCAAAAUGGGCUUAUAUUCCUGCAGUACUUCUGGAGAGAAAAAAAAAGAGCAAAGUCAAAAAAUAACAACAACCACAAAAUGCUACUCUAUAAGUUUAUCCCUAUUAUUUUGGUUUCCCUUUCUUCUUUUAAAAAGCGUGUGUGCUUUUUGUCAGUGAGUGGACCGUUUCCCUUAGGUCUGUGCCAUGUUCUGGGUUUUCUCUGGCUUUAUGUACAUUAGGAUGAAGGCACUGCAAAAGACAUGCUUCA